rnacentral:rRNA from 1 species
UACAGAGGUGGCAAGCGUUGUUCGGAAUUACUGGGCGUAAAGGGCGCGUAGGCGGCCCGUCAAGUCCCGUGUGAAAGCCCCCGGCUCAACCGGGGAACGGCGCGGGAAACUAGCAGGCUUGAGUUCGGGAGAGGGAAGCGGAAUUCCGGGUGUAGCGGUGAAAUGCGCAGAUAUCCGGAAGAACACCCGUGGCGAAGGCGGCUCUCUGGGACGGUACUGACGCUGAGACGCGAAAGCGUGGGGAGCGAACAGG